GCUGGGCACGGUGGCGCGUGCCUGUAAUCCCAGCUACUCAGGAGGCUGAGGCAGGAGAAUUGCCUGAACCCAGGAGGCGGAGGUUGCGGUGAGCCGAGAUCGCGCCAUUGCACUCCAGCCUGGGUAACAAGAGCGAAACUCCGUCUCAAAAAAAAAAAAAAAAAAACCUGAAUGUGUGACUCUUACCACUUUUUUCUCUUUUUUUUUUUUGAGACAGUCUCACUCAGUUGCCCAGGCUGGAGUGCAGUGGCGUGAUCUCAGCUCACUGCAACCUCCUCCGCCUCCUGGGUCAAGCAAUUCUUCUCCCUCAG
rnacentral:SRP_RNA from 13 species